rnacentral:rRNA from 1 species
UACGUAGGGUGCAGGCGUUAAUCGGAAUUACUGGGCGUAAAGCGUGCGCAGGCGGUUUCUUAAGUCAGAUGUGAAAGCCCCGGGCUUAACCUGGGAACUGCGUUUGAAACUGGGAGACUUGAGUGUGGCAGAGGGGGGGUGGAAUUCCACGUGUAGCAGUGAAAUGCGUAGAGAUGCGGAGGAACACCGAUGGCGAAGGCAGCCCCCUGGGUUAACACUGACGCUCAGGCACGAAAGCGUGGGGAGCAAACAGG